AUUGAACGCUGGCGGCAUGCCUUACACAUGCAAGUCGAACGCGAAAGCGGGGGCAACUCCGCAAGUAGAGUGGCGAACGGGUGAGUAAUGCAUCGGAACGUGCCCAGUCGUGGGGGAUAACCAGUCGAAAGACUGGCUAAUACCGCAUGAGACCUGAGGGUGAAAGCAGGGGAUCCGCAAGGACCUUGCGCGACUGGAGCGGCCGAUGCCGGAUUAGCUAGUUGGUGGGGUAAAAGCCCACCAAGGCGACGAUCCGUAGCUGGUCUGAGAGGACGAUCAGCCACACUGGAACUGAGACACGGUCCAGACUCCUACGGGAGGCAGCAGUGGGGAAUUUUGGACAAUGGGCGCAAGCCUGAUCCAGCCAUGCCGCGUGAGUGAAGAAGGCCUCGGUUG
rnacentral:rRNA from 1 species